CAGCCGCCGCGGUAAAACGAAGGGGGCUAGCGUUGCUCGGAAUUACUGGGCGUAAAGGGAGCGUAGGCGGACUGUUUAGUCAGAGGUGAAAGCCCAGGGCUCAACCUUGGAAUUGCCUUUGAUACUGGCAGUCUUGAGUACGGAAGAGGUAUGUGGAACUCCGAGUGUAGAGGUGAAAUUCGUAGAUAUUCGGAAGAACACCAGUGGCGAAGGCGACAUACUGGUCCGUUACUGACGCUGAGGCUCGAAAGCGUGGGGAGCAAACAGGAUUAGAUACCCGCGUAGUCCCUGUCUCUUAUAC
rnacentral:rRNA from 1 species